AAUUCUCCUGCCUCAGUCUCCGGAGUAGCUGGGAUUACAGGCCAGUGGAUUCUCAGAAUUCAUAGCAUUACCUUGCUGAGUGGGCAGUGCUCCAGGACACCUGUGAUGACUUCACUUCCAAGAUGGAGUCUCACUCUGCCCCCAGGCUGGAGUGCAAUGGC